GCUGAAACGUUGACUGUACUUUUUCCAUACAUGCUGCCUGGCCAGCUGAGUUCCUCCAGCAUUUUGUAUGCCUUGCUCAGCGUUCUGUCAGAUGACUGCAGUUCAGAAUGUGGCAACUGAUGAAGUUUUGAGGACUUUAUUAAUCAACUGCACCUCCUAGUGGACUGCCUAGCUAAUAGUUCAUUUACAAUCCCGGAUUAAGAAAGAAAAGACGAAAAAAAAUAAAGUGGAGAAUAUUGUCCAGACAUCUUCCAGAAGUAACCAGUGCAGGAAGGAAGUACACAUGUUUGAUCAGGCUCUCUCUUUCCUCGCUCGAUGCUGCCAAAGGACGGUGCCAGAGCCUUGGGUUUAAUCUACACGGUUGUGGUUGGACUCUGCCGUUCACGUUAUGUGUGUUUCUGGGUCGCAACAGCAGUGGAUGCGUUUUUCUCAGCGAGAGAGAUGUCAGAUCCCCUUCUCCAUUCCAGCAGCCUCGAUAGUCUGUGUUAAUUUUGAGGUCCGGGAGUAAUUGCAGACUGAUCCAUGUAACUUCAGGGAUUUCAGGAAAACAACAUCGAUUUGUAACUUAAUUAUGUUCAAUCGUGUGGGACACAAAGACCCCUGUGGGUGAAAGGGAUGAGGAGAAGGCAAGUGAAAGGAGGGGUG